rnacentral:rRNA from 1 species
AUGCCUGGAUCAUCGGAGCGAGUUGGACGAUCGGACCGAGGGCUGCCCCCUCUUCCCCUCUCUCUCCUUUCCUUAAUAUUCACCGUCGAGUCAGCAAAGCCGUCAACUAAUUCAGAGGGGCUCGGAUGGCCCGGUCACCCUACGCUACUGGUGCUUCCAAAGGCGAAGCUCUCGUCUUUGGCGACCAACAAAUGGAUGGCUAAAACCUGUAGUUUUGAAGCAAGGGAUGAGAGGGAAAUCCGUUGCGCUUCCGUACACGCGCAUAUGUUUUCUUGCUGGGGCAGACACGGAUUUCUCUCUAAAGGCAAAGAAAAAGAAGUGGGCGAACACUCGGCCCAGCGGGCGAACAUGCCGGCUUGGGCUCCGCGCACCUGCUGA